rnacentral:lncRNA from 1 species
UUGCAAAUCUGUAGCUUUGCAGUAGUUUGCUUAUGAUACAUCAACCUUUGCAGUAAUCUGUGAGCAAGAACUGAUAUAGAAGCAUGGGAGAACAACCUGAUCCGUUCUCCGCUUCUACUCUACCGGAUUUCAUAUCUUCCCAAAAGAUUGGUAGACCGGUUACUCUCGAAGGCCAAAGCAACCGUGGCCAUCCUUACUCCGGCCUCAAGAAGAGAGGGCAGUCUAGUCGUUCAUGGGUCAAGAUUGAUGAGAAUGGGAACUCGACGGUUUUGGAGCUGGACAAGGCAACUAUAAUGAAGCGCUGUUCCUUACCUUCAAGGGAUUUGAGGCUUCUGGAUCCUUUGUUUAUUUACCCCUCGAGUAUCUUGGGGCGUGAAAGAGCCAUAGUGGUCAGCCUUGAGAAGAUUAGAUGUAUAAUCACUGCUGAGGAGGUUAUUCUCAUGAAUGCUAGGGAUGCGUCUGUUGUUCAGUACCAGUCUGAACUCUGUAAACGCCUCCAGUCUAACCAAAACUUGAAUCUCAAAGGUCAGUUGAUUUUUUUUUUUUAUAUUAGCUUUGGUGGUUUGGAGUUAUGAUAGUUGUUAGAUUGCUGAUAACAUAAAGAACUGUUGGUUUCAGAUGAUUUGCCUUUUGAGUUUAAAGCGUUGGAGCUGGUUUUGGAAUUAUCUUGCUUGUCUUUAGAUGCACAGGUAUGCCACCAUUUGCCUCUAACGUCAUUCUGCAAGAUAGUUGUUGUAACUACAAAAAGCUUUUGGUGGAUUUGAUUUUGAAUAGGUGAAUGAGUUAGAGAUGGAGGUGUAUCCUGUUCUUGAUGAACUAGCCACAAACAUCAGCACACUUAAUCUAGAACACGUAAGGAGGUUAAAAGGUCGUCUCCUUGCCUUAACACAGAAAGUUCAGAAGGUAAACACACAAAGAACCCUUCAAAAUUUAGAAAAAUCGGCACCAUACAUUUUGAUUUUGAGGGUUUCUUAAAUCUUGCAGGUUUGUGAUGAAAUAGAACAUUUAAUGGAUGAUGAUGAUGACAUGGCUGAGAUGUAUUUGACUGAGAAGAAAGAAAGAUCAGAGGCUCAUGCUUCAGUGGAGUUAGAAGAUAACCUAGAUGACGAUUUUGGAUCUUCAGGAAUAGUUUCCAAGUCUGCGCCGGUUUCACCUGUGGGUUCAACUAGUGGAAACCUUGGGAAGCUUCAAAGAGCCUUUAGUAGUGUGGUUGGCUCACACAGAAGCUUGUUAAGCUCAUCUAGCAGCGGAGAGAACAUCGACCAACUAGAGAUGUUGCUAGAAGCCUACUUCGUCGUUGUUGAUAACACACUCAGCAAACUAUCAUCGGUUAGAUUCUUACAUUUGUUACAGAGAGAUGUUUUAUUUCUAUUCACCGUUUUGAUUUAUGAUCUUGUGUUUGCAGCUGAAAGAGUAUAUUGAUGAUACAGAGGAUCUGAUCAACAUUAAGCUGGUAACAACAGACAAAACCAAGCUUUGUCUAUUUUGCUCUUGUUUCAUCUUAACUUCUCUAGAGUCUCUGACUUUGUGUCCAUGAUUCUUUCUUAGGCGAAUGUACAGAAUCAGUUGAUUCAGUUUCAACUGCUUCUCACCGCAGCAACCUUUGUGGCAGCCAUUUUCGCAGCUGUAACAGCGGUUUUCGGGAUGAACCUGCAAGACUCUGUUUUCAAAGAUCCGACCAUGUUCCAGUGGGUUUUGCUUGUAACAGGUAUUGGAUGUGGACUUUUGUAUUUUGGUUUUGUGUUAUACUUCAAGCACAAGAAAGUAUUCCCUCUCUAAUACUCUUUUUUUUUUUGUUAGUGAGACUUGAGUUACUAUUGUAAUAAUUUUCAUUGUCAAACUCAGUUUAGGCUUAGUCCAAGAUUUGGGUAUUGAAAAGUGAUGAUAAAAGCCAAGGAAUUGUAGAGCAUUACAUAUGAAAUCUAAUCAAUUAAAGAAGUUCGAAACUUAUAAGUCAAAAGGCAUUGUCAAUGGCCAGAACCAAAGCAUGUUCAACCCCAUACCUGUCGACAGCUCAAGAAAACGUAUGAACUGGGAACGGGAAGCACAACGCUAGCCCAUUCAACGUGUCCCCAAACAUCAUCACCACCACCCUCUCUUUCAAGCGCAAUCACCGAGCACCAAAUGUUCUUGUUUUCACCCUGGCCAGGCUUGUCCCACAAGAUUAAGAGUUUCCCACAGUAGUUAGCUACUGCAAGAGCACCAGCACAACCAUUCCUAUUCAAUACCUCCAAGCCUUUGACCAUUCUCCAGUUUUGAAGCUUUGUGUCAAACCACGAGACGGUUUUAAAAAACACCGGUAUCACACUUUUGAUCUCCUAUAGUUCGGUCUAUGUUAGAAACCGAGUUCCAUCCAGGAGAUAGUCUCCACGUGGCUUGAUAUACGUUUGUCUUUCGUCUCUGGUUAAAAAGAAAGGAAGGCGUUGUUACUGUGUAAAGUAAAACAGAGGAAGUAAUUGCUCUUCAUCUUCUGCUGCUUCUGCUUGGGGAAACUGAAAUAGAUUCUAAACGAAAGGUGAAGCUCUCAUUUUUUUCUGGAAUCUUAGGUUUGGUUUCGUUACUUUCAUGAAUUGUUACUUUGUUUGAUCGUAUGGAUUUGAGAAUAUCGACCUAAUUGAUCGCCGGCGAUUGGUAAUUCGAUAGUCUUAAAGGAUCGGUUUCUUCGAAUUUUUAGAAAUUUUGCUACUGAAUUUGAUCAUCCUUUACUGUAAAUUUUGUGGCUUUUCUUCAUUUCUCGAUUAGCAACUCAAUACCCAGUUAUUCAAAUCUAGAUUGAUUUGGGAAUUUUAGAGGGUUCACAAAGGUUAGGUUCUUGAUGAUCAACGCAGUUUCUGGUAGAAAUGUUCACUACUAAGUUUUAGAAGGCUUUUUUUGUGCUCUCAAUCUCUUUGUUAACUCCUCGGAGAGAGAGAGAGCAGUUGAAUGAGAUGAGCUUACAUGGUUGCUAAAUAGAUUUCGAUUUCAUCUCAAAACUGUUGUUUUCAGGUUGCAAAUCUGUAGCUUUGCAGUAGUUUGCUUAUGAUACAUCAACCUUUGCAGUAAUCUGUGAGCAAGAACUGAUAUAGAAGCAUGGGAGAACAACCUGAUCCGUUCUCCGCUUCUACUCUACCGGAUUUCAUAUCUUCCCAAAAGAUUGGUAGACCGGUUACUCUCGAAGGCCAAAGCAACCGUGGCCAUCCUUACUCCGGCCUCAAGAAGAGAGGGCAGUCUAGUCGUUCAUGGGU